UACGUAGGGCGCAAGCGUUGUCCGGAAUUAUUGGGCGUAAAGAGCUCGUAGGCGGUUUGUCGCGUCUGCUGUGAAAACCUAAGGCUCAACCUUGGGCUUGCAGUAGGUACUGGCAGACUAGAGUGCGGUGGGGGUGACUGGAAUUCCUGGUGUAGCGGUGGAAUGCGCAGAUAUCAGGAGGAACACCGAUGGCGAAGGCAGGUCACUGGGCCGCAACUGACGCUGAGGAGCGAAAGCAUGGGGAGCGAACAGG
rnacentral:rRNA from 1 species